rnacentral:pre_miRNA from 1 species
AUAGUACUCCCUCCGUCCUAAAAUUCUUAUCUUACAUUUGUCUAAAUACGGAUGUAUCAAGUCACGUUUUAGUAUUAGAUAUAUUCGUAUCUAGACAAAUUUAAGACAAGAAUUUGGGACGGAGGGAGUAGUAU